rnacentral:lncRNA from 1 species
CCCCCCUGGCUCCGUCAGUGCUCUCCAGUAUCCUUAACGGAUCUUCCUUCUUCUUCUUCUCCGCCAUCUGCUUGAGGAAACCUUUGAGUGAAGCCAGGUCGCUCUUCAGCUGCUCCAACUCAUUCUCCGCCCCGAAGAUCAGAUCGGCGUACCCUAUCACCACCUCCUUCACUUGCUCCAGCAAGAAUGCCACUGCAGCCUCCCCCAUCUCAAUUCUCCAAGGGAGAGAGAGAGUGUGUGAGUGUGUGUGAGAGAGAGAGAGAGACUGGUUAUUGUAGUUGAAUUUCAAACUAUGGUCUUAUUGUGGGGCUGAGCAUUCGGGCAAUUUGGGUUGAAAACGAACCGUAGUGGAAAAAUCCGAACCCAAACCGCCCCUAAAUUUUUAAACCGAACCAAACCGUUUCAGUUGCUCAAACCGAACAGUAAAUUUUUAGUUUGGUUUGAUUCGAUUUGGCAUAAACCGUUUCAAUUUUUUUUUAAAGGAGAGAGAGAGAGUAUU